rnacentral:rRNA from 1 species
CCUACGGGAGGCAGCAGUGAGGAAUAUUGGUCAAUGGGCGCGAGCCUGAACCAGCCAAGUCGCGUGAGGGAAGACGGUCCUAUGGAUUGUAAACCUCUUUUGUCGGGGAGCAAAAGACGCCACGCGUGGCGUUCCGAGAGUACCCGAAGAAAAAGCAUCGGCUAACUCCGUGCCAGCAGCCGCGGUAAUACGGAGGAUGCGAGCGUUAUCCGGAUUUAUUGGGUUUAAAGGGUGCGUAGGCGGUUCGAUAAGUUAGAGGUGAAAUCCCGGGGCUCAACUCCGGCACUGCCUCUGAUACUGUCGGGCUAGAGUUUAGUUGCGGUAGGCGGAAUGUAUGGUGUAGCGGUGAAAUGCAUAGAGAUCAUACAGAACACCGAUUGCGAAGGCAGCUUACCAAACUACGACUGACGUUGAGGCACGAAAGCGUGGGGAGCAAACAGGAUUAGAUACCCGGGUAGUC